rnacentral:rRNA from 1 species
AUUGAACGCUGGCGGCAGGCCUAACACAUGCAAGUCGAACGAGUGGCGGACGGGUGAGUAAUGUCUGGGAAACUGCCUGUUGGAGGGGGAUUUCUACUGGAAACGGUAGCUAAUACCGCAUACCAUCGGAUGUGCCCAGAGGGGAUUAGCUAGUAGGUGGGGUAAAGGCUCACCUAGGCGACGAUCUCUAGCCGGUCUGAGAGGAUGACCAGGCAAACUGUAACUGAGACACGGUGCAGAGGCCUACGGGAGGCAGCAGUGGGGAAUAUUGGACAAGGGGCGAAAACCUGAAGCAGCCAUGCCGCGUGUAUGAAGAAGGCGUUCGGGUUGUAAAGUACUUUCAGCGGGGAGGCGUUACCCGGAGAAGAAGCACCGGCUAACUCCGUGCCAGCAGCCGCGGUAAUAC